GAUGAACGCUAGCGGCAGGCUUAAUACAUGCAAGUCAAGGGGGUAGCAAUACAACCGGCGCACGGGUGAGUAACGCGUACACAACAUACCAUAUACUGGGGUAUAGCUUUGGGAAACUGAAGGUAAUCCCCCAUAACAUUGCGAGAGGGCAUCUGAUUGCAAUUAAAGUUUCGGCGGUAUAUGAUUGGUGUGCGUUUGAUUAGCUAGUUGGUAGGGUAACGGCCUACCAAGGCGACGAUCAAUAGCUGGCGUGAGAGCGCGACCAGCCACACUGGAACUGAGACACGGUCCAGACUCCUACGGGAGGCAGCAGUAGGGAAUAUUGGACAAUGGGCGCAAGCCUGAUCCAGCCAUGCCGCGUGAUAGAUGAAGGCCCUCUGGGUUGUAAAUAUCUUUUAUCUGGGAAGAAACUCCUCUAUUCUUAGAGGCCUGACGGUACCAGAGGAAUAAGCACCGGCUAACUCCGUGCCAGCAGCCGACGG
rnacentral:rRNA from 1 species